rnacentral:rRNA from 1 species
UACGAAGGGGGGCUAGCGUUGUUCGGAAUUACUGGGCGUAAAGCGUGCGCAGGCGGCUUCUCAAGUCAGGGGUGAAAGCCCAGAGCUCAACUCUGGAAUUGCCUUUGAGACUGAGUGGCUUGAGUACGGGAGAGGUGAGUGGAAUUCCCAGUGUAGAGGUGAAAUUCGUAGAUAUUGGGGAAGAACACCGGUGGCGAAGGCGGCUCGCUGGCCCGUAACUGACGCUCAUGCACGCAGCGUGGGGAUCAAACAGG